AUUGAACGCUGGCGGCAUGCCUUACACAUGCAAGUCGAACGGCAGCACGGGUGCUUGCACCUGGUGGCGAGUGGCGAACGGGUGAGUAAUACAUCGGAACAUGUCCUGUAGUGGGGGAUAGCCCGGCGAAAGCCGGAUUAAUACCGCAUACGAUCUACGGAUGAAAGCGGGGGACCUUCGGGCCUCGCGCUAUAGGGUUGGCCGAUAGCUGAUUGGCUAGUUGGUGGGGUAAAGGCCUACCAAGGCGACGAUCAGUAGCUGGUCUGAGAGGACGACCAGCCACACUGGGACUGAGACACGGCCCAGACUCCUACGGGAGGCAGCAGUGGGGAAUUUUGGACAAUGGGCGAAAGCCUGAUCCAGCAAUGCCGCGUGUGUGAAGAAGGCCUUCGGGUUGUAAAGCACUUUUGUCCGGAAAGAAAUCCUUGGCUCUAAUACAGUCGGGGGAUGACGGUACCGGAAGAAUAAGCACCGGCUAACUACGUG
rnacentral:rRNA from 1 species